rnacentral:misc_RNA from 1 species
AAAAACUCUUCAAUCCAAAUAAAUAAAUGAAAUUCCUUAGGUAAAUACAAGGAUGUUGGGCUUACUAAUGAUUAAUGAAGCCAUAAACCAGAUGUUCUCCAAAAAGCUAUUAUAUAAUAUCAACACACUUCAAAUUGUUUUAGACAUGGAAGAGGAAACAUCUAAAAGUUUAAGAAGGCAUGAUACAGGAAAGAUCACCAGCAUGCCGACAAGAAAAUCCAAAGGCAAGCAUAACACAAAAUGUGAUCCAGCUCUUUUCC